AGCGAACGCUGGCGGCAGGCUUAACACAUGCAAGUCGAGCGGGCACUUCGGUGUCAGCGGCAGACGGGUGAGUAACACGUGGGAACGUACCCUUUGGUUCGGAAUAACGCUGGGAAACUAGCACUAAUACCGGAUACGCCCUUUUGGGGAAAGGCUUGCUGCCGAAGGAUCGGCCCGCGUCUGAUUAGCUAGUUGGUGGGGUAAUGGCCUACCAAGGCGACGAUCAGUAGCUGGUCUGAGAGGAUGAUCAGCCACACUGGGACUGAGACACGGCCCAGACUCCUACGGGAGGCAGCAGUGGGGAAUAUUGGACAAUGGGCGCAAGCCUGAUCCAGCCAUGCCGCGUGAGUGAUGAAGGCCUUAGGGUUGUAAAGCUCUUUUGUCCGGGACGAUAAUGACGGUACCGGAAGAAUAAGCCCCGGCUAACUUCGUG
rnacentral:rRNA from 1 species